GCCGCAGGGCCGCGGGUUAGGCUGCGCGGGAGGGAGAGCAGCUUUCAAGGAGGGUUGAGGCGAGAAGUAUCCUGGGACAGACAGCUACACCAACACUGCAUACAUAAAUAAAGCUAGCAGUGUUCAAGAUCACUGGGAGUUCAGAAAAUGCCACUGUCAUUAUCAGUGGGGCCAAUUCAGAUAUUUCUUGGGAGAGCAAAUUCCAGUCCCUGCCCCUGAUAUCCCUGCCCUUCCAGUCCCCACUUGUCCCCCAUCUUACCCUAGCCUCCUUCCACAGGAAAUCCAGGUUUCCCUCAGCCGGGGAGUCUCUGCUCUCUCUUACUCGCAGAGUGCGUGAGCCGGUGCUGCCAGGAGUCAAGUUCUUAGUUGACAACUCCCCUGCCCUCUGUCACACCCCUCGUGCCAGGUCAAAACACCACUCCGUGAAAUUUGACUUGGACACCCAUCUGGAGGAGGCGUGGCUGGAUCAGAUUUCAGUGGCAUUGCAAUCACACAGCCAGAGUGAUUCUCCAGACCACUCUGGCAGAAGCAGUACUGAUUUAGUACAAGAUCAGUGCUUAGAGUGGUUGGGCCAUGGUCCCCAUGACUCCACAGCCUAUGGAACUUUGAACAAGUGCAAAAAACUUUGGACUAGCACCAUGGUGAUUAUAAAGGAGUUGGAUGGUACCUGAACAUCAGGCUAGGUACACAUCGCCAUCAAAUAUGUCAAGAACUAUAGACUUAAAUAAAAACAAAAAUCUACAGUGCAUAUUUAAAAAGGUGCAACUAUUUCUUCUAAAAUGGGCUGUGUUUACGGUGGCCAACUCUCCAGGAUUGGCCUGGAGUCUCCAGGAAAUAAAGAUUAAUCUUUAAGUAAAAUUAUGUCAUGUGAUUAAUCUCCAGGAAUACGUCCAACCAAAACUGGCAACCCUAGUUGUGGCGUUCUUCUCUCUAAUUGGAUAUAUUAAUAUAACAAUAACCCAGUGAUUGGCCCUCUUCCAUUUUUUUUCCCCCACUCUCACACUCGCUCUUAAACUUGUGUGUGGGGAAGACAGAAUGCACAUGCAAGUGGGUGAGCAGAGCUGCUGGGAUACCAUCUUAGAAGGAAAGGAGAGUGUGCUAUAUAAUAAUAAAACAACAUGUGCCUAACAAGACAUGUGCCUAACAUGACCUCAUAUAUUUAGCUUGUAUUGUAUGUUGUAAUCUCUUCAUAUAUGCUUUGUCUUGCUUGUUUUAUUUAGGCCCCAUUUUUGCCACCAUAUCCACACAGAUCUGAUUGUAAGAUCAGAGCUUUAGAUUGUAACCUUUAGAGCUGAAAUUGUAUCUUCUUUGUGACCUGUAAGGCACAUAGAACAUUUUUUUAUCCUGGAUAAGUAAUGGGAAUAUUUUACUAUGUUUUCUCUGCUUUUGUUAAAUUUUUGUUAA